UCUGGCUCGAAUAGGCAGUGGAAAAUUCUCACUCAGUGGUGGCUACUGGAAUUCUGUUUCAGACACAGCAAAGGACCUGGUGUCAA
rnacentral:lncRNA from 1 species